CCGAGAGAUUGAGUUUUUAGCAGAAAUGUUUGACUCCCAGUUACAGAAGGAUUUACUGAUGCUCAAACAGCAAAACCUUCACCUUGUCUUCUAUGCAAGGUCCUAAAUACAAUAAGAUAGAGGUAUCCUAGUUUUCCCCUGGAACAGGAUGCCUCAUUUCCCAACAGUUAGCAUGGUUGUUGUCGUCUCCCAUUCUGGUCCACCAACCAAACCAUCUGUCCACUCAGGAUG
rnacentral:lncRNA from 1 species